UGGCGACGGACGUGCCUGCGC
rnacentral:misc_RNA from 1 species